UACGAAGGGUGCAAGCGUUACUCGGAAUUACUGGGCGUAAAGCGUGCGCAGGCGGUUUUGUAAGCCAGAUGUGAAAUCCCCGGGCUUAACCUGGGAACUGCAUUGGUGACUGGCAGGCUUUGAGUGUGGCAGAGGGAGGUAGAAUUCCACGUGUAGCAGUGAAAUGCGUAGAGAUGUGGAGGAAUACCGAUGGCGAAGGCAGCCUCCUGGGCCAACACUGACGCUCAUGCACGAAAGCGUGGGGAGCAAACAGG
rnacentral:rRNA from 1 species